rnacentral:rRNA from 1 species
UUAGAGUUUGAUCCUGGCUCAGGAUGAACGCUAGCUACAGGCUUAACACAUGCAAGUCGAGGGGCAUCAGGAAGAAAGCUUGCUUUCUCUGCUGGCGACCGGCGCACGGGUGAGUAACACGUAUCCAACCUGCCCUUUACUCGGGGAUAGCCUUUCGAAAGAAAGAUUAAUACCCGAUAGCAUGAUGAUUCCGCAUGGUUUCAUUAUUAAAGGAUUCCGGUAAAGGAUGGGGAUGCGUUCCAUUAGGUUGUUGGUGAGGUAACGGCUCACCAAGCCUUCGAUGGAUAGGGGUUCUGAGAGGAAGGUCCCCCACAUUGGAACUGAGACACGGUCCAAACUCCUACGGGAGGCAGCAGUGAGGAAUAUUGGUCAAUGGGCGUUAGCCUGAACCAGCCAAGUAGCGUGAAGGAUGAAGGCUCUAUGGGUCGUAAACUUCUUUUAUAUAAGAAUAAAGUGCAGUAUGUAUACUGUUUUGUAUGUAUUAUAUGAAUAAGGAUCGGCUAACUCCGUGCCAGCAGCCGCGGUAAUACGGAGGAUCCGAGCGUUAUCCGGAUUUAUUGGGUUUAAAGGGAGCGUAGGUGGACUGGUAAGUCAGUUGUGAAAGUUUGCGGCUCAACCGUAAAAUUGCAGUUGAUACUGUCAGUCUUGAGUACAGUAGAGGUGGGCGGAAUUCGUGGUGUAGCGGUGAAAUGCUUAGAUAUCACGAAGAACUCCGAUUGCGAAGGCAGCCUGCUAAGCUGCAACUGACAUUGAGGCUCGAAAGUGUGGGUAUCAAACAGGAUUAGAUACCCUGGUAGUCCACACGGUAAACGAUGAAUACUCGCUGUUUGCGAUAUACAGCAAGCGGCCAAGCGAAAGCGUUAAGUAUUCCACCUGGGGAGUACGCCGGCAACGGUGA